GGCUAAUUAUUGACUGCUGCACAGCAGAACACUACCACGGUGAGAUUGGGCUGUGAGAUGACUUGAAAGCUGUUUCCUCAGUAUAGGUCUUAUUCUUGCAGCUGGGACACCUUGAUGAAGACUGUGUAACAGCUUUCUGUGUUUCACAACAAGAGAAGAGAGAGUAGAUCAGCAUUAACAUCAGAGGUAAUAAACGUAUGUCAGUAAUUCUCUGUAUUUAAGCCCACUCCUACAGUAAAUAACCUUACUGUAUGAACAGACUCUAACACUCACUUAUUCUCAAACAUGAAAUAUUUCACACCUUUCAGAGGUAAGGUACCACUGCAGAACUUCAUAGUCUACCUAAUAACUACAUUUCUGAAGUUCACAUUUAUUCCUUUUUUCUCCUUUAAUUGUGUUUUCUCAGCCUUUCUGUUAUAUUUUACCAUGCUGAAAUCCUUAUGAAUCUCUGGAAGUCCAGGCAGACUCAAAACAGAAACUGAUGGAUGAACAGCAGAUGUCACAUGCUGGCUUAACUCCCUGCUUUGAAAUGUUUCACUAAUAGGUGGAAAAUAUCAACACAUCAGCGAAUUACGACCAGUUGUGGCAACCUAUCUCUUGCUUCAGUCUAAGAAGGCUCGUGGCAAGCACAUUCCCUUGAGAUUUCCAUCCCAAACAGGACGUGCCAGUACCACAGAGUCAGGAAGCCUGGGGAUCCCAGCAGAGCCAGUCAGCCUGCGCCAGUGGAGGAGCUGCUGCCUUGGAAGUGCAGACCCAGUCAGCUGUUGUGGAAUUCCUCAUCAGCCACGCAGAUGUCCUCUUCUGCUCCAAAUCCACACCAGCCUUGGGAGAGGGAGUAGGGCACAGUUCUCUGUCCGGGCCCAAGUCUGUGUGGGUGUCUCCUCCAUCCACAAAGCUGCUCACACUGCAGGAGGCACAGGCUGAGAGGAGAGGCCAGAGCAGCUCUCCCACUGUGACACGGAGCAGCAGGAUACAAGUAAAGGAAGGCCCCGCAGCUGUACUGGGAAGA